rnacentral:rRNA from 1 species
GGCUCAGGAUGAACGCUGGCGGCGUGCUUAACACAUGCAAGUCGAACGAAGACAUCUGAGUGCUUGCACUUGGAUGUAGAGGAAAGUGGCGGACGGGUGAGUAACGCGUGAGGAACCUGCCUUGAAGAGGGGGACAACAGUUGGAAACGACUGCUAAUACCGCAUGAUGCAUAGGGAUCGCAUGAUUCUUAUGCCAAAGAUUUAUCGCUUCAAGAUGGCCUCGCGUCUGAUUAGCUAGUUGGCGGGGUAACGGCCCACCAAGGCGACGAUCAGUAGCCGGACUGAGAGGUUGAACGGCCACAUUGGGACUGAGAUACGGCCCAGACUCCUACGGGAGGCAGCAGUGGGGAAUAUUGGGCAAUGGGCGCAAGCCUGACCCAGCAACGCCGCGUGAAGGAAGAAGGCUUUCGGGUUGUAAACUUCUUUUAAGAGGGAAGAGCAGAAGACGGUACCUCUAGAAUAAGCCACGGCUAACUACGUG